rnacentral:rRNA from 1 species
GAUGAACGCUGGCGGCGUGCCUAAUACAUGCAAGUCGAGCGAACAGAUGAGGAGCUUGCUCCUCUGACGUUAGCGGCGGACGGGUGAGUAACACGUGGAUAACCUACCUAUAAGACUGGGAUAACUUCGGGAAACCGGAGCUAAUACCGGAUAAUAUAUUGAACCGCAUGGUUCAAUAGUGAAAGACGGUUUUGCUGUCACUUAUAGAUGGAUCCGCGCCGCAUUAGCUAGUUGGUAAGGUAACGGCUUACCAAGGCAACGAUGCGUAGCCGACCUGGGAGGGUGAUCGGCCACACUGGACCUGAGACACGGUCCAGACUCCUACGGGAGGCAGCAGUAGGGAAUCUUCCGCAAUGGGCGAAAGCCUGACGGAGCAACGCCGCGUGAGUGAUGAAGGUCUUCGGAUCGUAAAACUCUGUUAUUAGGGAAGAACAAAUGUGUAAGUAACUAUGCACGUCUUGACGGUACCUAAUCAGAAAGCCACGGCUAACUACGUG